rnacentral:sRNA from 1 species
AAUGUUCUUUCCUUUCCAUAUUUAGUGCUGCUUUCAGGAGCUCUUGUAAGCUUCCAAUAAAAACAGGACAGCAGAACACGCAUACCAAAGUCAGUACUGAGCACAACAAGGAAUGUCUAAUCAAUAUUUCCAAAUACAAGUUUUCUUUGGUUAUAAGCGGCCUCACUACUAUUUUAAAGAAUGUUAACAAUAUGAGAAUAUUUGGAGAAGCUGCUGAAAAAAAUUUAUAUCUCUCUCAGUUGAUAAUAUUGGAUACACUGGAAAAAUGUCUUGCUGGGCAACCAAAGGACACAAUGAGAUUAGAUGAAACGAUGCUGGUCAAACAGUUGCUGCCAGAAAUCUGCCAUUUUCUUCACACCUGUCGUGAAGGAAACCAGCAUGCAGCUGAACUUCGGAAUUCUGCCUCUGGGGUUUUAUUUUCUCUCAGCUGCAACAACUUCAAUGCAGUCUUUAGUCGCAUUUCUACCAG